rnacentral:rRNA from 1 species
AUGGGAGAAGGAGAUCCCGAUGGUGGCUGCGUCGUCGGAGCGACAGCGACCUCGACCUCGGCGGCGUCGGCGGCCGCCCCUGUGAGGGACAUCAGGCGGUACAAGUGCGAGUUCUGCGACGUCGUGCGCUCGAAGAAGCGGCUGAUCCGAGACCACGUCCUCGAACACCAUAAGGACGAAGUGGAUGGUCUGGAUGAGUACAACCUAGGUGGUGGUGGCGGCAGUGCGCCGCCGGGCAAGGAGAUCGGCCAUGGUUGCAAGGAGUGCGGAGCGAGGUUUAAGAAGCCGGCGCAUCUGAAGCAGCAUAUGCAGAGCCAUUCGCUUGAGAGACCCUUUGCCUGCCAUGUAGAUGGUUGCCCUUUCAGCUAUAGCAGGAAGGACCAUUUGAACCGCCAUCUACUUACUCAUCAAGGAAAACUAUUCAUGUGCCCUAUGGAAGGAUGCAACCGUAAGUUCAGUAUCAAGGGUAAUAUCCAGAGACAUGUUGAGGAAUUUCACGAGGAUGGCCCUCAGCGUGGAGGCAAGAAAGAGUUCAUCUGCCCAGAGGCUAACUGUGGGAAGGCGUUCAAAUAUGCUUCCAAGCUACAGAAACACGAGGAAUCACAUGUCAACUUGGAUUACACUGAAGUUAUCUGCUGCGAACCAGGCUGCAUGAAGACUUUUACUAAUGUGGAAUGCCUCAAGGCCCAUAACCAAUCGUCUCAUCAGUAUGUUCAGUGUGAUAUCUGUGACACUAAACAGCUUAAGAAGAACUUCAAGCGGCAUCAGCGAAUGCAUGAAGGUUCGUUUGUCACUGAGAGGAUUAAAUGCAACUUCAAGGAUUGCAAGCGCUCAUUUUCAAAGAAAUCCAAUUUGCACAAGCAUAUUAAGGCAGUUCAUGAGCAGAGUAGACCUUUCACAUGUGGAUUCUCUGGGUGCGGCCAGAAGUUUUCGUACAAGCAUGUAAGGGACAAUCAUGAGAAAUCUAGUGUUCACGUGCUUUUUGAGGGCGAUUUUGUGGAGGCUGAUGAGCAACUCCGACCUCAUCCAGGCGGCCGCAAGAGGAAGCCCAUUUCAGUCGAUACUUUUAUGCGGAAGAGGGUAGCUGCUCCUGAUGCUCCCCCUGCUUACAGUGAUGGAACUGAGUAUCUGAGAUGGCUUUUGUCAGGUUGA